rnacentral:misc_RNA from 1 species
GAUGAAGAACGUAGCGAAAUGCGAUAAGUAAUGUGAAUUGCAGAAUUCAGUGAAUCAUCGAAUCUUUGAACGCACAUUGCGCCCCCUGGAAUUCCGGGGGGCAUGCCUGUUCGAGCGUCUCAGGGACGAACCCUCGCGCGGGUGUACGCGCGGUCGUGGCUGCGGUGGCGUGCCCGAGGCGGCGGCCACCGCGCUGGAAUCCAUGGGCGGACGCCUGCCGCGUGGCCGAGCGUGAUAUGACGCAUUGGCGCUCGCACGCGGAGAGGCUGCCAGCCCUGGCCCGUCUGUCGGGCGGGGGAGAGCAAGACACGUGAACUCCUCGAAUCAGGUAGGGAAACCCGCUGAACUUAAGCAUAUCAAUAAGCGGAGGA